UACGGGGGGGGCAAGCGUUGUUCGGAAUUACUGGGCGUAAAGGGCUUGUAGGUGGCCAACUAAGUCAGACGUGAAAUCCCUCGGCUUAACCGGGGAACUGCGUCUGAUACUGGAUGGCUAGAGUGUGGGAGAGGGAUGCGGAAUUCCAGGUGUAGCGGUGAAAUGCGUAGAUAUCUGGAGGAACACCGGUGGCGAAGGCGGCAUCCUGGACCACGACUGACACUGAAAAGCGAAAGCCAAGGGGAG
rnacentral:rRNA from 1 species